GGCAACUUCUGCACCAAUUAGUCCAAACAGCAAUGGCUCGAAGAUAACCCACAGGAAAUCAAUGUUCUUUACAACAGGCUCCUCCGUAUCCUGCCACAAAAGCCAUAGUCAGACAGCCGAGGGGCCCCGCACCAGAGAACUUCACUGCAGCGCUGCCGAAGAUGACAAACAGCCCCCCGCCAAAGAGCAGAAAGACGGGGACGUUUUCUGACUGAUGUUGCAGUAACACAGAAUUCCAAGAGAGGUAAAGGAAGGAGAUGCUUGUGAUGAAG